rnacentral:antisense_RNA from 1 species
ACAAGAAGGAAUCAGGAGGCAGAGCACAUGGUUAAAGCAUGAGAUGUGAAACCAGGAAGAACCAGGUCUGAACCUUAGCUCCACCAGUGGUAGCCCCAAACCUUGGUCCUUUCUGAGCCUGCUUCUUCAACCCUAAGGAACUCGGAAACGGGACCCAGAAAGUUGUUUUCUGCAAGUGGAUGGAACAACACAAGCAAUCAGUAUCCUGAAACAGGCCCUGUUCCAACAAACUGACCCAGAAAGAGGUUAUACCAAUUAUCUCUCCAGCAAGUAUGAGGACUCCUGUUUCCCUACGUACUCACUACUACAGCAAAGAUAUCAAACAUUGAUACCCACCAAUCUCUGGAUGGAAAAACAAAUCUCAGGGUAGAACGGAUGGACUUUGUGCAACAUAAUGUGACAGUUAAAGCUGUGGAAUUUAGAGUCAGAAAGACCUGAGGUCCAAGCCCCAGCUCUGCUAUUUUCUACUAUGUGAUCAAAGGACAUUUUCCUAACUCUUCAAAGCUUCCAUGUCCUUGAUCUGAUGGAAUUAGGAAUACUAUCUAUACCGUAGAGGGCAGUUCUGAGGACUAAAAGCAUGCAAAGCAGUUAGCACAGAGCCCGUGAAUAUUCAA